rnacentral:rRNA from 1 species
GUGACAUACCACUUGUUGCCUCGGCGGAUCAGCCCGCUCCCGGUAAAACCGGACGGCCCGCCAGAGGACCCCUAAACUCUGUUUCUAUAUGUAACUUCUGAGUAAAACCAUAAAUAAAUCAAAACUUUCAACAACGGAUCUCUUGGUUCUGGCAUCGAUGAAGAACGCAGCAAAAUGCGAUAAGUAAUGUGAAUUGCAGAAUUCAGUGAAUCAUCGAAUCUUUGAACGCACAUUGCGCCCGCCAGUAUUCUGGCGGGCAUGCCUGUUCGAGCGUCAUUUCAACCCUCAAGCACAGCUUGGUGUUGGGACUCGCGUUAAUUCGCGUUCCUCAAAUUGAUUGGCGGUCACGUCGAGCUUCCAUAGCGUAGUAGUAAAACCCUCGUUACUGGUAAUCGUCGCGGCCACGCCGUUAAACCCCAACUUCUGAAUGUUGACCUCGGAUCAGGUAGGAAUACCCGCUGAACUUAAGCAUAUCAA